GAACGAACAAAGAUAGCAGAAACCGACAUGAAUAAAGUGUUCCAACACACUAUAGAGAGGACUUGAAGCAUAACCCUCACUGUACACAGUAUACACAGCGGUGCACACCAGGAAAGACGACGUAGAGGAGAAACAUAUAUAGCCAUUACCCUUUAGCUAGAAGGAACUAAAUGGCGCCAAAAGCAAGAACUCCGAAUAUCCAGAUGUUACAUGGACUGAAAAUUCGAAGUUUUUUGGCCUCUAAAAUGAUGUACGAACAGUCAACCAGAUACAAUAACUAUGCUUUUUGGGCAGUGAUGGUAGCUAGUGGUCUUAUGGGCUUAGCUGCUGCUAACCUAUGCGAGAAUCUCCCCUUGGGUGAUGAUCAGAACAAAUGGGUUUCAGCAUCUAAGAUGCUCAUCGGAGUGGUCUCUGGAUUUACAGUCUCCUUUCAAACUGGCAAAGUCUUUCUCAUUGAUUACUUUGAAAAAAAACAAGGAAUCUAUAACGAAACAGCAUCAAGUUGGCAAAAGCUGGAAUUGGACAUUGAAUUAUUUCUUAACUCUAUCGAGAUCACAACCACAGACAGAGAUAUCAGAGAGUUUACAAGUGAAUGUAUAAAACAACGAGAUGUUAUAUGCUCCAAGUCCAAACCAGAGGAAGACAUUUAUCAGAAAUACCAUAAUAACCCCGAUUUAGUGAUCAAGAAGUAUCAGAAAAAACACACUGUCAUUGCGUACAUUCUACAAACACUUGAUCGGGAGGAAGAAGCAAAAAGAGAAGAACGUCAAGAAGAAGAUCAAGAAGAUGAAUAUGACCUGGUUUGUUGGGCUUGUCUUCCCUUUGGUGUAUAUUAUCAUAUUUUGUACCAUCCGAUCAAAUUCUUUAUGCAGUAUGUCAACGAAAGUCGAUGUAAUUACCACCGUGAACAUUUCAUUUAAGAAUGUAAACAGGAUGUUGUGAUUCUCUAUUCAAAUGAGUGAGCUGGCUUCAGACAAGACAAUUUAUUCAGUAUAAAGGCCACGAGCCCACACUUUGAAGUACAUUGCUGUGCUCAAGUUACGCAACUCUACUCAGCUAAUUGCGGUACCUUGAGACGACUGAAACCCAUACCACCGUUUCCCUAUUUACGCUUAUGGUACCUGGAUUGCAUGGGUUAUCUCCCAAAACUUAGACAGCCAGAUCUUAGACACUAAUGAAGGGGAUUAAUUAAGACAACACCUAUGGCUGAAAUGGAAAAGUCCUAAUUAGUGUUCCCUGCUGAGUAGACAUAGCUUGUAUUGAUAAGUAAAUGAUAUGAACUGUACACGGGUGAUUAAGUUAAAGAUGCAUGAUAUUUUUUCAUUUGAAAAUCUCCUCACAAGAUUAAAAGGGUCAACUGUUUUGAUACCUUAAGUGGAGUACCUAUGAAAUAAAUAAAACAAUUGAAACUGUAAUGUAUGUGUAAACUCAAUUCUUUGAAGGGCAUUAGAAGUGGAAUGCAUAAGAAAAGC